GAGGUGACUUAUGGUCAAAGGCAGUUCUGCACUCCUACCGAUGCUCCCUUUAAGUACAUGCAAAUUAAGGGGCAGAUUAUGCAGACAUUUCUAGAAAAGGGGUGGUAACUUCCAGGUCAUCAGGUCAUUGCCAUGGGAAGGGGUGGUAACUUGGGGAUCUUGCCAUGAAAGGGGUGGUAACUUCCGGUUGUUGCAUGGCAACAGUAAACUGCAAUAGCAUCUGUGGGUGUGUCAUAUGGGCAGGUGCUUUCGCCCCAUUUCUAUUGUAGCUAGAGUCGUCAAAUCAAUUCGGUGUGGUGUCCCAGCCCAGCCUCUGGAGUCAAGUUUCACCUCCUGAGUGGAGUCCUGCCUCCUACCUCAGGAAGAUUGAGCCCAGGUGUUCAAGACCAGCCUGGACAAAACAGCCAGACCUCAUCAUGAAUUAGAGUAGGCUCCGCCAUCUAGGUUUGUGUAAGGACACCCUGUGAUGCUCACACAAUGACAAAAUCACCUAAGCAUGCACUUCUCAGGGAGUAUCCCUAUGACUACUCCCUUUUGUGGACAUUCGGGUUGUCAGGUCUAUUUCUGAAGCACCCGGAAACAGUCAGUUCUGGCAUUUUAGAGAGGUUCUGUAUCUGCAGCCUUGUUCUGUGCAAGCCUACUGGGUGUCUCUUUCAGAACAUAUCCCGAUUUCGGAGAAAUCCCCCACCAUCCUGUCCAUGAUCGAGGGCACCAAGAACUGAUGCUUGAGCCAGACACUCAACCACAAACUGCACUUCAGGGAGGCCCACAGCCUUUGAGGAGGUUUGGAGUCCGCUGCCUAAUUAGGGCUCUUCAUCUUGGUAGGUAACACAGGAGGGAGUGGAGCCUGGGGUUUAGGAAGUGUGGCACCGUUAGCAUACACAGAGGAAGCUCAUAAGUGCUCUGCAGGAGCCCAAAUGGUGCUGAGGUCUGUUUCAUACGAAGAGUCUCGGAGGCCAGGAUUCAGCUGAGGAGACAGAUUCCUGUCCUCGGGUCUCCCUGCCAUAACUCUGGAAGACAACCUUGAACCAGUGGAUAUGAUUCUUGUAGGAUAUUAAAUAUGUCUCUUUUCACAGUCAUGCUAUUUAUUUACUCAACACUUUUUAUUUUUUUUGAGACAGAGUAUUGUUCUGUGGCCCAGGCUGGAGGGCAGUGGCACAAUCUUGGCUCACUGCAACCUCCGCCUCCCGGUUCAAGCAAUUACCAUGCCUCAGCCUUCCGAGUAUCUGGGGUUACAGGCCUCCGCCACCUUGCCCGGGUAAUUUUUUGUAUUUUUAGUAGAGAUGGGGUUUCACCAUGUUGGCCAGGCUGGUCUCAAACUCCUGACCUCAGGUGAGGAUCUGCUUGCCUCAGGCUCCCAAAGUGCUGGGAUUACAGGUGUGAGCCACCUCACCCAGCCUUUUUUUUUUCUUCAUAUAGGGUGCAAAGGUACAUUCUCUCCCGCUCUUAUUAUCACAAAUGUCAAAUUAUGAAUUAAAGAUGUUUUAUUGUAGCUGCUCUUGCAAUGUGAAUGUGUGUGUGUGUGUGUGUGUGUGUGUGUGUGUGUGUGUGUGUGUGAAUGUGUCAUAUUUGCAUUUGGGCCGGACCUGAAUGAAUGACUUUAGAAUGAGACUCUAAUGAGGAUGACACAGGCGGCUUUCGAGGGAUGAGACCUCCCCGGAGAAGGACAGAGACAUUAUUUGGCUGUCUUCUUUCCGGAGGGUAAGGAUUUGGCUAAGAAUUUUAAACACUCACGUCCUCCAGCUCACAGGAGUGGGUCAAGAGCAGCUAGAGGGAGUGCAGAGAGGCCGGUGUCGAUGUUCCAGAAAAGUGAGACGAGGGAUGUGGUCGAUGACUGCCCUGCCAGCCGGGUGCAAAUAAUGCAUGGGAAGGUAUACAAGUCCGGUGGAAAGAACCCUGGGCUGGCGAUAAGGAGAUUGGCCUGUGACCUUGGGUGAGUUCUGUUUGGCUUUGAGCAAGUCGCUUAAGCUCUCUGUGCUGAAGCAUGUGACCGCGCAUGGAAAACAGGCCAGAGAUCGGCCUCCGUACCUCAGGAGACUGAGUGGGUUGUUAGGUACAAAAUGCCUGAAGUCCUUUCCACAGCAAGGCAGGGCAUACACAGACCUAUCAAUAAAACUGAAGGCAUCAGGAAUCCUGGUGGGGAAACUGAGGCCCAGCCCAGGAAAGCCCUGUGCCCAAGGAUCCGGGGAUUGUCUCCAUCCUGCCUUUAGGGAAAAGCAAGCUACCCAUCUAGGGUCUGGGUAGAGCACCCCGGGAAGAGCAAGGAGACAUCCCAGAUGGAGGCCCUGCCAGGAACACAGGCCAUUUCCCUUGCAAAGAUGAAAUUCAAAUCUGAGGUGGCAUCAGUGCGCCUGCGGGAUGGGGGGACCCCUGGGACAUUUAUCCAGCCUGAGACUGGAGGCAGCUCUUCUUACCUUCCUGGGAAGGGCCUUCAGCCCUGCCUCUCCCCCUGCACCCACCUGGCAAACCUUUCACUCCCAGCAGCUCUGGGAUGUCUCUCGAGGGACCCAGGCUCCGUCCUGAGCCUGUGGCCUGUCUCCGGCAGCUGCCCUUGGGUGGGAAGGUCCUGGCUGGCCCCAGAGGUUUUUCCUAAGAGCCUGUAAUUCUCCCCGGAGAGAUAAGGCAUGGUUACAUGGACUCAUAUCACACUGGCAGAGAAAGCGCCUCCAGGAAUUAGGCCACCAGCCAGGGGAUGGGCAGGCCUGUGUAGGAAGGGCAGCCUCUCAGUUGGAGGAAGUGGGGGUGUGGGACAGCCGAGGGCACUGAGAAAGUGGGGAAGACCACAUCUUCAUGGGAGGGUGGGACCAGCCCAGGCUGUGGGAGUGGCCUGCUGUGUGACCUCAGAGAGGCCACGAUCCCUACUAGCUGCCUCUAGGAAAGGAAUCUGAGCAUGAAGGAGUAGUGGGGACAGGGAGAUUUGCUUUUCACUAUAUAAUUUUUUGCAACUUUUUGAAAAAAGUACAUUUUUUUUUUGAGAGUCUUGCUCUGUCGCCCAGGCUGGGGUGCAGUGGCAUGAUCUCAGCUCACUGCAACCUCCACCUCCCGGGUUCAGGCAAUUCUCCUGCCUCAGCCUCCCAAGUAGCUGGGAUUACAGGCAUGCACCACCACGCCCGGC
rnacentral:lncRNA from 10 species